GGAUGAGACGGGCGAAUCUUACCUUUAUGAGGACAUUGCCCAAGUGGAAUCCACCAAUCGCACAGAAACACAAAAACGCCAGCAAACAGACAAAAGGAAGAAGAUUUUAAAGACAGGGAAAGGAUUAAAAAAAUCAAAGAGUGGGCCCUCUCUUAAAUGCCUGGGGAAGGAAGGACCAGACAAUGGAGAAAA